UACGGAGGAUCCAAGCGUUAUCCGGAUUCAUUGGGUUUAAAGGGUGCGUAGGCGGGAUAGUAAGUCAGUGGUGAAAGCCUGCAGCUUAACUGCAGAACUGCCAUUGAUACUGCUAACCUAGAGUACAGCUGAUGUGGGCGGAAUGUGUCGUGUAGCGGUGAAAUGCUUAGAUAUGACACAGAACACCGAUUGCGAAGGCAGCUCACAAAACUGUAACUGACGCUGAGGCACGAAAGUGUGGGGAUCGAACAGGAUUAGAAACCCGCGUAGUCC
rnacentral:rRNA from 1 species